GUAUUCUUACCCUGAGUUUUGUUUCCCCAGAGAUCAUUAUGUUAUUCCUAGAAAUUUCCCAAAGCCCUAAAGCUUUUCAAAAGCCCCUGUAUUAGCAUGGAAUCUCUGGGAAAAAGGCCACAUCCAGGCUGGGAUGGUGAGUGAGUCUUAGCAUCUAUGUUGCAGUGAGAUUCAGGACCCCAGCACAAAGCCACGUGUGUUGUGCACAGCACAGGUCCUGUGUUACGUUCCUCAAGUAGAUCAGUGGUCAUGGCACCACCUCAGUAUGUGCAGUGACACAUGUCAGGAUUGACAGGGUCCAGACAGAAGGUUCGAUGUGUUCCAAAGUGUGCAGCAUUGCUCAACCUUUCAUACUUCUUAACACACAUGGAGCAUGUGUAUGUGCACAGCACAGUGGGCGAAUGGGCAAAGCUGUUCACAGUUAGAUGUCCCAGGCUAAGGGGUUCCAGCUGCCCAGGUUUGGCUCCCUAGAUUUCCUCUAACCCAAUUUUUUCAUAUUAGGUGCCACAAAAGACAUUAGUGAAUUCUGGUUUGCAGUUGCAGACUCAUUACCACUCAGAAAAGCACUUCCAGAAUUCGCUAAGACUCUUGACCCUGUAUCUCCUUGGCUAAUUCAUGACUUUGGGCCUAUCUGAAGUAGUCAUUUCAGAGCCCUGAGAGUAUUUAGAGAGAAAUACAAUUAAGAAAAUGUGGAGUGUGAAAGGCCAUGUCUAUCCUUACACAGUUAUGGAGUGUUUUAAAUAUGAUUAAGUAAGAUGGAGUGUGUGAAAGCAUUUUAUAAACCACAGUGUAAAUUUUUAUGUUUAAUACUACUACUAGUGCAUGACUGAUUAGGCAGAUAGUCCUCACUUACUGAUUAUAAUGCUGCAAAUCCCCAAAUGUCCAAUCCAAACCAUCCACUAAAGUAAUGAGUAAAAUACAUGCAAAUAGAAGGGCAAACAUUCUAUUUUUUUUCUCCUCUAACACAAGAAAACAUUGGGCUGUUUUUAGAAGUGUAUGAUUCACAAAGAAGAAGAAUAAUGGUGCCUAAAAUUAGGAACAUCUAGUUCAAACCACCUAGAGUAAUGAAAAUAUGGUGAGUUUAAUGCCUUAAAACAUCUCACAAUAGCAGUUUGGAAGAAAUAACUAAGUGACUAAAUAUUUAAUAUUACCAGGAAAUGUUAAACAAAGGUGGGUUACUCUAAUGUAACUUUAUCUUUAGUUUGUUUUUUACAUAAGUUAAAAUAUGAUUAAUUGGAACCAUAAAUAAUGAUGGUAAUAAGAAUGAUUAUAGAGGUCACUGCCAUCUUUUUCUGAGGUGUUCAAUGUAUCCUGUAUGUGGUACUACCUUGGAGACAAAGCCUAAAGCAGAGAUGUUCAGGGUAGCUCCCCUGAUCGACUCCCAUUCAUUCAUUCAUUCAUUCAUUCAUUCAUUCAACAAAUACCGUAUUUCACCAACUCUAAGAGUUGUCAGUUGUAAGACAUGCAAUUAUUUUAUAUACCACAAGGAAAAGUUGAUGUCAAUUAAAGUAUGACAUGCCAUUGAUUGCAACACACAGCUCCAACUUCAAAGACUUUUAAGUAAAAACACAUGCAUCUUAGAACCGAAUAAAAACAAUACUUUUUAAGUGUAGUAUACCUUAGGGAGAAGGCUUGCAGAUUCAGACAACUGGGUUAAAAUCCUGGUUUGACCUCCAGUGACCUUGAGUGCUCCCUAAGUCUGACUUUUCUCACCUGUAAAUUAGGGCCGGAGAAGUAGCUUCCUCAAGAAAAAGUUGUUAAUUAAAUUAAAACGAGUCAAAAUCUAAGCUGGGUCAUUGCUUUUAUUAAAAGUCUCACUCCAGUAUUAUUGUGUGAUGAAAGUUCAGCAACAGGAAGACCAGCUAUGGGCUGCUCUAGACUAGAUAGGGAACUAGUAUAGAGUAGUUGGAGCAACAAUGGGGGCUUGAAUGAGUGAACAGGAUGUAGAUGAGAUACAGAUUGGAAAUGACAGAUCGACUGCAUGGGGAUGAGGAGAGAGAAAGAGAAGUCAAGGGUAAGUUCUAGGUUUUUGGUUUGAGCCCAGUUCGAUGGUGCCAUCUAUGUAGAUAAAGAAACCGGGAAGAAUUACAUGUUCUGUUUUGAAUUUACUCCUUUUGAAAGGUCACCAGGGAAGCUUGUUUAGAAUACUCAUUCCAUGGCCCUCCCCAUGGAGAUCCUAAUUCUAUAGGGGGUCUCCUCCAGCGAGUCAGAUGUGCUGCGUGAAGUUUUGAGAAGAGUCUAAAUCUUGGAAAACAUGGUACCUUCAUCUUUUACAAGUUCAUUGGUGCAUUAUUUUGUGUGAAUGUGUGUGUGUGUAAAAAAAUGCAGUUGUACUGGUUUGAAUUCAACUAUAUGUGUAGUAAGGGUACCCAUAACUGAAAAAAGUAGUAAUCCAUAGAAAUAACAUAAAUGAGAAUACGUUUGAAGAUGAUGGGUUUUUUUUGUCAUGUUAUUCUUCCUCCUUCUUUAGGGCCUUUGUACCCAUGGUUACUAAGAGCUUCCUCUCUCCCUCUCCCAAUCUGCACAGUUAACUCCUCCCCAUCUUUGUAGCUCAGUGCAAAUCUCACCUCAUCUGGACACCUUCCUGGUCUCUCAGACAGGCUCCUUGUGCUGCUUGUGUUCAUAACACCCCACGCAUAGCACAUUGUGUGUGUGGGAUCUAAUUUUAUUAUUAACUUUCUUCCCUGCUAGAUUGAAAACAUCUUGGGAGCAGGAAACAUUUUUAUUUUGGUCAGCAUUUUAUCCACAGCAUGGAAAACAGUGCCUGGGCAUAUUAGGUCCUCAAUAAAUAAUGGGGAAUAAAUAAAUACAUGUGGGUGUUUUUUUAUCCAGUUCCAUGUAUAAUUAAUUUUCUCCUCAUUGGUGGCAGUUUUCGCUGCACUAAUUUUUAGGAGGGUCUUUGGGGACCCUAGGGCCAAAUGGACCAGAAAGAAGAUAAAAUGAUUCAGAAAUAUAAGAAAAUAUAAUUGGACUAAAAAAAGUCCUUACAUAGACCUAAAUGUCAGCAACAACAUAAAUCUACUGAAUUCCCCUCUUGACCCUCUGUGGCGUCCUGAUGUUCCAACAGAGUUUUACAGUCCUGACGCGAGAGUAGUGCUAGAGGGAGAACUGUCUCCAGCCCGUGUUGGGUAUGUACCAGAAACCAUCAGCCACGGGGAAGCUGGAGCUUAGUAUGACCCACUCCCAUUCCUCAAGGAAUUAUUGAAGUAAUCAUGCCUGGGGCUUCCAUGGCAAAUGUUCUUUUCUUGUGGCUAAUCUGGGUUAUUCAUCAAAUGACUAAAGGUGACUACAUGGGCCUAAGUCCAGCUGAGUUUCCUGACUAGUUUUCCAAAUGAUUCAAAUCUACUGAUGCAAUUCCUAGCAUAGAAUUGCCUCAGAUGUCCAUUAAGCCCUUGCCAAUGAUAUAGCCUGUCUAUUUCAGGGCACUGUACGUUUAACCCAAGGUACAGGUAAUGCAUAUUCUCAAGCAUAGCCCAACCAUAUCACAUUUCUUUCCUCCAAGUCAUAAUGUCACUCUCUGAAUGACUAAUGUAAAUCAAGGGGUAUGGAAUAGCCUUGUGCAACUGAAUAUUUUUUUUCCCAGUUGGUUCUUAGAUAUCUUGCUUCUUAGGUUAUUACUGCAAAGGUAGGCUGUACUGGGGGAAAAGAAAUGACAGAGAAGAGAGGAGAUAAUGGGAAAUGUAUAGAAAAUGCUACCAAGGAAAUGUAGUGAGCUAGGUUGGUGAGUUAUUUAGUCAGGAAGACUUUCUCAUUGAUAGUUCAGGGGCAUGCCUUCACACCGCUGUUUGUUAGGAAAUAGGCUAUACUGCUACUCACAUUCCAAUUUGAUCCUCAGUGUUCUGGGAGCUCAGCUUAUCCUAUGCUAUGGAUGCCAUUUGACUGAUUAUUCUUUCAUAUUUUUGAAAACAAGGAAUGAUGAGACAUUAAUAUAGAAGCUCCUAGUGUGCCAGUAUUUAGAAGAGUGAUUCUAUAUGUGGCUGGACAAAAAGACAUGCAUUAAUGCAAAAGUGAUCCAGGACCAGGGUAUCUGAAGUUUUUGUAAAACAACAGUGUUGAGGUGCAUGUGAGAAGUGGCAGCAACCUCGUUGUAAUGAAUUUACUGCCCUUGUGCUGCCUUGAGGGAGGCCGAUCACUUCUGACUAGUGAAUUACACUGUGGAAUCCUGACUUCCUUGCUCAGGACUAGGGCUGGGCAAGUGGUUUGCCUGGCCCUCUUGUGUAUGUGCUGUGGUAAUGUCAGCUCCAUCAAAUGCUUAGGAGAUGAAAGAAAAAAAUGUUUCAGACUUGAGGUGGGGAGCAGCAACUUGUACUCAGGACACAAAGAAGAAAGUACUGGCGAGAAGGAUAGAGCACCUUAACAUUCCGGAGCCCUGACACACGGGAGUGUUCCCUGAAUUAGCUGUUAUUAGAUCAAAUGUCCUGACUACCUUGAGCCAAAUGGGCAUGGGAAAACAGUGUUGAUUUGAUUUUCUUGACUCAUUGCAACUAUGAGCUCUCUGGUGGACAGCAAGGGUUGGUAUCACUAAUUACUAUAAAUAAAAUACAAACUUGUUUGGUUUUAUCUAAGCUGGUGUAAUUGUCAGAGGUAGAAACAUAUGCCAAGAGGAGUCUGUCAGCAAAAAGAGUUUGGGGCAAAAAUCUUGUGCAGUUAGAUCAUUACAGGUUUGAUUCCCAAAGGAUUGGAUUCAGUCUGUAUGGAACUCCCUGGGGGAUUCAGAAGGCUGCCCUAGUUGUUGUUUAGUUAGUUAAAAAUUAAAGCCUGUAGGACACAAUUCUUACCAAUUAUAUUUGAGAUAUGGAAGCAGCCUAUGAGACAAAUCCAAGGUGAAGUUUUGCAGCAGGAGUUCUUAACAUUGGGGCUCAAUAGUGAGUUUUAAAAGCUUACAAACCACCGGAACCUAUGUAGAACAUUUUGUGUAUUUAUACUUGAGUGUCUCUGUUUUUUCUUGAUUCUGAAGGAACAGCCUUACAUCCAAGGUGUCAGGACCAUAGCCUUUCAAUCUGUAUGUCAUGUCACAAACAAAGGGCUUUUCCAACCAAGUCCAGUGUGAACAGAGAUAUCUCCUACAUAGCUCCACAAACCCAACACCUCAUAAAGGUUUUGUCUUGGUUUGAAUUGUAUAAUUUUAUUAGUUAUGGAAAUAGAUACAAACCAUGGGAGCAUGCAGGUAGAGACCCAGAGGAUUUCAGAUCUUGGGAAGCCUUCUGAGAUCAACUUGUCCAACAUUAAUUUCGUUGAUGAGGAAACUGAGGCUUGGAGGUGCAGCAGCCUGCUGCAGGUCCCCUAGCAACCCAAGGCUGGGUUUGGAUGGAAAAGCAUCUCUUGGCUGCCUGCUUCAUAUUUUCUGUAUUCUACCCAUCCCUGAUCAUCAGGAAAAUAGGAAGACAUCGGUAUGCAAUGAGAGUAAUGCUACCUCUAGUAUUCGAAUCUGAUUGUGUUUUGCUGAGAGCCUGUCUAGGAAUGGUGCUCCCUGUGACCAGUGAACAGGGAGCCAAGACCUCAGUUCUUCUCUCUGAGAUCCUACUUGUAGCAUCAUAGAAGACAUUUGAUGCACGUCUAUGCAGAUCUCUCGCACUUACUCACUGAGAAGUUUUAAUUGUCUGGAUGUCCUUUAUAUUUUCUCAUUUUAUUUUCAUUUUUUCUUGCCUGUUAAAUUGUAAUAUGAACACUUACGGAAAAAGAAAUUUUGUAUUUGACAGACAGCAUCUGUUGCCACAGAUCUUAGCUCCUUUUCGAGUAACCAAACACAAAUGAGAAUUAUGGGCACUGGCGAAAGUGACGUGGUGUGGGGUAGAAUCAUUUAUUUUAUUUUCAUUUGUCUUUCUCCGGCAUCCUUCCACAAGAAGAGGACCCCUCCUCCACACGUGCACUCUGCAGUCUGGGCUCCUCUUCCUGGCAUCUGUCUUACUCUUACAGUUAGUCAAGUGCAGGAGGUAUAGUUUGAUGGUUCUUCCUUCUGACCUUCCAUCAACUCUAGAAGUGAACCUUCAGAGGAAAUUAAAGCUGAAGAGGGUGGUUGGGCACAGGCACUUGGGGAGGGGACCAGGGCUCACCUAUCUUCCAACCCCGCACUCUGUCCGCUCCAACCCCACACUUUGCCCUCUUCCUUUUACAUCCUCAAGCUCUUCACAGAGAGGCUGGAAAUGAAGCCAAGUCUAGGGCACGAGAGAGGAGAGUGAUGAGGACUCAAUGAACCUGGAAUUCAGCCAAAAAUACACAAAUAUGUCCAAUGAAAUCUGCAUGCACACUUCUGGAUCCUUGAUUGUAAUGGUCAGGAUGAUGAGAAAUCAUUGUAAACUAUAUCUAGAGACUCCUCUUUUCAUCACUAUUUCUUGUUAUUUUAAAGAUGAAUCUUAGGAAUAACAGGUGUCAUCUGUUUUGAAGAGUUAAAUAAUUACAGUAAAUACUACACACACACAUGCAUGCACACACACACACACACACACACUUGUACUGAAAAUUCUGAGAUUUUUGCCUACUCUCAACAUCUUUUACUUUUCUAGACUUUAGGAUAUGUGACAGUUUAUUCUCUCUUGUUUUACUUGUGUCAUAUAGAGGGCAGCUUGGGGCUAACAUUAUUUCCUGUUCCAGAAAAAGCCACUGUCUUUUAUUAAGCAAUGCUUCUUUCCAAGUGCUGCAGUGUUCAUCCCUCAAGUUUUCCUUAAGGAGUCACUUCAAAUAUCUGCAGAAAUGGCAGUUAGGAUCACGCAUUUUAUCUUCUUAUGAACUAUUCUGGAAACACAGACAAUGCAUUGGCUGUGGAUCUUGCCCACAUUCACACUUUCAAUUUUCAUUUAUCGAAAAUGCUGCUUCCCCAAUUUUUCCUUGCAGAAAUCUUAUAAAACAUAAAAUCACUUAAUUAUUGAAUUCUAAAGCUAGAUGGAACAUCAGCAAUCUUCCAUCAUAACAUCUUAUAUAAAAGAUAAGGAAAGGGAAAUUCAACUAGUGAUAAAAUCUGGACUACAGCCUAAUUCUACUGAUUAGCAUUUCAGUUCUGUAUCCAAAAUAUCACAGUGCUACUCAGAAAUGCCACGGUUCAAGAUUCACUGGAAGCAAGGUAAGUGCUACAGAAACUCCAGGAAGUUCUAAUAAAACAAAUACACUGAGAGAGGAAUAAUUCAUUUUCAAAUAAUGUUAACAAUCCCUAAAAUAUUGAAAUAAACUCAUACACUCUCACAUCAUGCCAAGAGAAGGGAUCCAAGUUAUUUGGAGGCUUUCAUGGGAGUAAAAAUCAACAUUCAAAAAACGAAAGUCAACCCAGGUCACCUUCAUAAAGGAUAACGCACCAAAAUGCCUCAGACAUGAAUUGUAAGAAUGGAUCUUAACAUGAGCUCAGGAAUUAGGGAGCCUUUUCUAUAAACAGUGUGUGUUUCUAACAACGUAAUAGGUAUGUGACAGCGAAGGUAUAGCGUUAUGGAAAACAGAAAAAUCUGAAUGAGAAGGCAGAGACUCAGAGAGCUCAGCUAUUCACAAGUCAUGGGGAUAUUAAUUUGCAUUUAUUGCCUUGGAGGCGGAUAAAGUUGGACGCUCAUGGAAAUAGUGCCUGAAUUGAGAACAGAGAGAGGAAAGAAUUGAUACUUUAGAAUGGCUUGUUUGAGCAGUUAUGGGAUGACAAAGGAGAUAUACUAUGCACUCAAGUCCCAAUGAAUAAGUUCUGAAACAAAUUAGCUCUGGGAUUUGGUUUAAAAAUUUUUUUAAAUGCUGAAAAGAGGUAAUACUUCAUUACUGCAUCAGAUACCACUAAUCUCAAUUAUUUUUUACUGCUUCUGUGACGAAGGGUAAACGACUGAUGUGUGCAUAUGUAUUUGGCAAAUAGUAGCACAACGGCCUGCAGUUUUCCACAUCCAUCCUUUAGCAUAUAUUCUUCUCUUUAGUGAGAAGUACCUCAAAUUUUUACCAUUGUGGAAAUAGAAAGUCCUUACAAAUGUGUCGUGAACCCAUAUUGCAUGUUUUAAUUAAACAAGUCCAUCCAUUAGAUUCCUAUAAUUGGUUAGUGCUCCUGUCUUUUGUUUCAAACUCACAGUUCAGAAGGUAUAAGAUAAAGAUGGAGUCGGUCCAGUGAAAUGUGCUGAACCUCAAUUAAGUUUUAGUGUUAAUUCAUUUGCUAACUUAUUUCCAGCUUGAACAAUAGUUGUCAUUCAUCAUCACUGUCAUCAUCACCAUCCACAGCAACAAAAAUGAACAUUUGUGGAUUGUCAGUCAUGAAUAUGCUUAGUACAUCCCACUGGUCAGAAAGCAGUCCUUGGAUGAGUAUUCUCAACGCUUCAAGUUAGACAUCUGGAUCUACUGUGUACAAGCCUUGAUGGGGCAAUAUUUAACAACAGGAGCAGAAGAGCCACUGCACAUUUGCAUGGCUGGAAAGGAGUAGAUAUUCCACCGAAAGAAGAGAGAUGUGAUUCUACAGAAGUGUUUGGCUAGAGUGGCUAGGGACUGUCCAUCCCUCACAAUCCUCCUUGCAUUCAUGAGAUGCUCAUGUCAGGGGACAUCCUAAUAUUAGGAGUAGUGGAGGAAUCCUAAAGUAUGGCAGUGACUUAUCUCUGAAUCACAAGGGGUCCAGUAUACUUGGAAUCCAGGCCAACCUGCAGCAAUUGUCCUCCAUCAGUGCCUGCACCAAGAAAAAAAAAAAAAAAAUCACUACAGGCUCUAUUCAGGGCGAUUUUCUGUGCUCAUUCUGAUGAACAUUCUCUUACCAAGCUUCCAUUUCCAGAAAAGGUAGGUCCGUGACUUGCCCCUAUAAGCUCCUUUCAAAGCCACGUCCUCCUAGAUGGAACUCUAAAUCUGACUGAAGACCUGGAAGGCAGAAUACCCUUUCCUGUGGUGUCCACAUGUUCCCUCUGAAGACUGCAACUCAGCAGACUGAGGUUCACACAGUACACUCAGCAGAAGAUGAGAGUAAGCUCCUGCUGAGGCAGGCUAGGAAGGGCUCCUAUCUGGUGAACCCAUCAAUCACAGUCAAGCUGGUUCAACAAAGAACGUGCUCUUGCAUAACCAGGGCUCUAAAGAUCCACAAGGCAAGAAAACUAUUGAGUUGGCAAAUAGGUAAAAUUAAGUCCUCAUCAGUGCCCCUUACAAAGUUGGUUCUGACUCAACUCUCUCUCCUGGGAGGGUGAUGAUAGCUAUUUGAAGCAUGAUUAGCAGUAGCAGAUAUUACUAAUGUCUACUGGUGGUCAUUUAGUAGAUAUUGGUAUUCACUAGUACAUAGUAUAUGUGAAAGAUCAAGCUCCCAUUCAGACAAAGGCUGUGGGCACUGUGUUCUGCUGUCUCAGCCAAGCCUCAGAACUGCCUCUUUGCAGGUGCCUUGGCACAUGGUAUUCAGAGGUGUUUCUGGGCUCCAGUUUAGGAAUAUGGAGCUCACCUAUCUUUUCCCCACUCUAUUCCAGUAAGCCACGCUUUGCACCCAAACCCUCAGGCCAGUGUCUACUGAGGUGCUAGGCAUGGGAGGGUUAGUCAAUCCCACCCACCCACUUUCAUUCUAAGGAGACUCAGAGCCCUUUCUCUUUCAUGGUUCCUGGGCAUAGGGAGGGAGAAACACCAGUGCAGUCAAGAUUCCUGAGGCUUGGACAGGUAGUUCCAGACCUUGCUGCCAGGAAAAACUUGGGGCAUCUGGGAUGUGGCUGGGGCUAGGGGUGAAAGGGUAGAAGGACACAAAGAAAGGUGAAGUCAAUAGCUUUCUUCAGUCUUGCCAGAAGCAACUGGAAAUGACACAGCUCCAUCCCAGUCCUUCCUGGUUCCUCUCAGGUGAAGCUGACCUGGAAACACAAGUGCCGUCAUUCCUGUGUGUUUUGGCUCGGACCCAUUUCUGAGUCUCAGUUCCUCUUAUGUGGCUAGAGGUGAGGUUUGGAGGUCGGGUUUGAAGGACUGGUUGAUGGCAGAUUAUUUAAAACUAAACAUGAUGUUUCAAGCUGGCUUUCUGUUUUGUUUUUUGUGGGGAGAUUUUUUUUUUGGCUUAUGGGAGUUUUCUUGUUUACUUUCUGUGACAGUGACUUUCUGCUGCCUCCCAGAAAUAAUAGGGCCUAAAUUCGUCUCCCUGACUACACUUGGCCUUUGCCCACGUUGUGUGGUGAGAUGUUUGAGCACAAGCAGGACACUGGCAGCCCUGGCCAGGACCUCCUGAAGGCACUGAAAAUGCAGUCCCUAUCAGACGCACCUUCACCUUGCCUCAGUGUGAGGAUGGAGGAGGUCCCAUGUCCUUCCUGUUUGUCAUCUCAGCACUUACCACCCCUCCAUCCCCGGAGAGUUUAAGAGCCCAUCCUCCCCCAUCCUUCAAACCUGAGCCAGGCAGGCUGUGACCCCGCCCCGCUGUAGAAUGAGGUACCACACCAGGCAGGCUGUGACCCCGCCCCGCUGUAGAAUGAGGUACCACACCAGGCAGGCUGUGACCCCGCCCCACUGUAGAAUGAGGUACCACACCAGGCAGGCUGUGACCCCACCCCGUUGUAGAAUGAGGUACCACACCAGGCAGGCUGUGACCCCGCCCCGCUGUAGAAUGAGGUACCACACCAGGUGAAGAGGGACAUGGAACACUUUUUAAUGUCAAGUCAGAGACAACCCCACCCUCCCGGAUCCCCCAAUCCCACUUUCCCUCAUCACAUCCAGGACCUCUCCCCGAGGACUCUCUGGUUCCCAGACUUUCAGGGGAGGGAAAAAAAAGAUUACCUAAAAAUUGCAUUUUUUUUUCUCUUUCAUACACACUCACACAAAGGUGGGAAAUUAAAUAAACCAAGAGGAUUAAACUCUCCAGUGGUCACGAAGGCAUCAGAGAUUCCCAUAAUGGGCUAAAGCAAGUGGGUACUGACGGUUCUGCUUGUUCAGUUGCUUGCUGUCGGUUAAUGCCACAGAGCAGGAUGGAGAAAGCGGGGCCACCGGGGGUGGCCGACGCACAGAGCCACACCUGGAAAGAUGCUGCGCCUGGUAUUAGUCAGAUUUUUUUUUAUCUUUUCACUUUUUAUAAAUGUCUCUGACAUGUAAAUAACCCAAGAAAAUAAAAAGGCAGGAGCUGAUUACACAAUUACCAGUAAACUCUAUCAUCUUUUAGAAGAUCAACACACAGCUAACGCCAUAUACAGCAUGCAGUAAUGUCUGAGAAAGGACCCUGCGGAGAAAUAAAAUGGCUAGAACUCUAACAAAAAAAAUAUAUGUAUAUAUAUACUGUAUAAUAUAUGUCAUCAAAAGAAGCAUAGCCAACAAACCCAAGAUACAGUGCAGAUCACCUUUCCAUUUCUAAACAGUGUGUAGAGAGCAUAGUAUUGUCUGCAUGAGAUGCCACAGUCGGGAGGAAUCUGUAGCGCUGGUGGAGAUGUUGGUUAAAUCGGAUGUAUUUUUUGGUGGAUAUGCCAAAUCCUCACCAGGCGAUUAGUGCCUGGUGUCUGGUCCACCAGUUGUAAACCUAGUUUAGAAGUAUACUAUUCAUUUUUACUGUUUAACAAACAUACUUCUCUUCACCCUUUUCAGUUGUAUUUUUUUAGUUUUGUCUUGUUUUUGCACUAAGUUCUAGACUCAUAUCAGAAAAUAUAAUUAAUAAAAUUAAUAAUGAAUCAGAAUCCCUUGUUAUCCAUGAUGUCCAUGUAGUAAAAUGAU